AGCAAAGAGUCAGUGAGAUUUCCCGGGGUCAACAUAUUUCUUCCUUUGUUUUAUACCAAGAAAGAAGACCAUCUUUGUUCUCCCCAUCUCUGAGCUUUUCAUAUUCUUUGUUCUCACUCCCAAAUUGAUAUUUCCUCUGAACUACAGGAGAAUUAGUAAACCUUAUAGGCACUGAAGGAAUAUCCAAGAGGCAUUUGCAGACACUUGUGACAUCACAGGAGAAGCUAGGGCUCUCCAGGAUACAAGAGAUUUUUCAUGGAGGGCCUAAUGAUGAAUGUCUCUGAGAACUGCCAUGGCCUACCUGUAAACAGCUUUCUUUACAUUGACCAGUUUCAAGAGUGCCUUUCCAGGUCUCCAGUCUUUCCAAUUCUCCUCCAAAUGUGUUGGAGAAGACCCCUCUGGUCGAGGGGAGGUACAACAAGCCCCAUCAAACAAAAUGGUCUCCACAUCUUCUUCUCUUAAAGUCUUGACCUAGAUGCGCAGAAUUCAUGUUAAAAUUCCAGCUAAAAUUAUAGCUGUAGGAGCCAACAAAAGUACAUAUAUAUACAUCAGCCACCGAAACUACACAAGAUUGAUGGAGAUUUUAAAAAAAGAUUACAAGAGCUGAAGGGCUUUAACACUACAAGAACAACAAUGCCAAUGAACCAGAGCUUUCUGAUACUAGAACAAUAUUCAAAGAAUGUACAUGGACAGAGCUAUGGCUCCAACUGCAUAUGUGGAAGAGAAUAGACUUGGUGGGCACCAAUGGAAGGAGAAGUCCUUGGUCCUCCCUAGGUUUGACUCCAAGUUCAAGGAACCAUAAGAACAGAGAAGUCCAGAUAAGAACAGAGACGUGCAAAUGCUUCUGAGAGUCUCCCAGCUCCUGAUUCCCUUAUGUGGAAGACUCAGAUCAAUGCUAUCUCUUCAGCGAUAUCACUCAAACCCUACAAAGGACUCACUGAACUUUCCAAAGGACCACAUAUUUCUUCCUUGUUUUUUAUACCAGGAAAGAAGAUCAGCUUUUUUCUCCCUAUUUCUAUUCUCUUCAUCGUCUUUGUUAUCACUCCCAAAUGUGCUCUGAAGUAGAGGCCUAUUAGUAAACCCUAGAAGUACUGAAAGAAUAUCUCACAGGAAGUUGCAGUCACAACAACACUUGUGACAUCACAGAAGAAUCUAGUGCUCUCCAGGUUAGAAGAGAGUUUUCAGGGAAUGCCUAACAAUGAUGUCACUGAAAACUGUCAUGGCCUACCUGAUGAACACCUUUCCUUACAUUGACCAGAUUCAAGUUUGCACUUUAUAGGUAUGUCUCCUAUGACACAGUGGAAACCUUUAUAUACACCUUCUCUCUAAAGCUAGAGAAUUCUCUGUGCUUGACUAGUGGUUACAUGCUGUGGGGCGUGGCAUGGGUGAAAACGAUUUAGGAACAUGGAGUGUAGGAGAUGUUCCUAGAUAAUAUUUUUAAUCCCCAGUUCAUUCCUGUGACACACAGUUAAAUUUUCUAGGUUUUCUCUGUAUCACAAUGACCAGCAUUUUCCCUACAGAUGUAUAAUUGAACGAAUAUUGUAUUUCAAUUUCUUAUUGUAAAUUCCUUGUUAGGUGACUUUGUAAAUUUUUCUCAGAAAUUGAUCUCAAAAAUUCUGUUUUCAAGUACCAUUUUCUGCAAUGAUAUUGUCACAUAUGGGGCCCUGAUAUAGAGUAAGUAUAAUAGUGUAAAUUCUGUGUACCUACUUCAAAUGUAAUCUCCCAAAUUCUUAUUUUAUCAAAAAAUUACCAGACAUCAGGAGAACAAAGAAAACAUUGACUAUUGAAUUCUGUUUCUUGUCCCAUUUGAUAUCAGUACUACACUCUCUAGCGUCCAGUGUUCCCAUGGCCAGAAUUGAGGGUUUAGGAUGAUUUACCAUGAUUCUUUCUUCAGGCCAAACGUAAGAUACUGGAUGAUGUGCAGGGAAAAGAAUGACCUGAGGACCAGUUAAACGUCUACUUCAGGUUUGGGAUUUACCUCAAUGGAGAGCGCUUGCCUAGCAAGCGCAAGACCCUCGGUUCCUUCCCCAGCUCUGAAUAAAAGAGAAAAAAUAAAGUCUACUUCAAUAGGUUCAUAAAAACAG